rnacentral:rRNA from 1 species
GACAGAGGAGCCAAGCGUUGUCCGGAUUGACUGGGCGUAAAGCGCACGCAGGCGGUCGCGCGCGUGGGGUGUGAAAUCUGGCCGCUUAACGGCCAGGCGCCAUCCCAUACGGCGCGACUGGAGUGAUGCAGAGGUCGAUGGAAUUGCCGGUGUAGUGGUGAAAUUCGUAGAGAUCAGGUGGAACACCGGAGGCGAAGGCGCCUGCCUGGCAAUGUAUUGACGCUGAGGUGCGAAAGUGCGGGGAGCAAACAGG